rnacentral:rRNA from 1 species
AGCAGCCGCGGUAAUUCCAGCUCCAAUAGCGUAUAUUAAAGUUGUUGCAGUUAAAAAGCUCGUAGUUGAAUUUCGGGAUCAAUUUAUUGGUCGUGCUAUUGUACGUACUGGUAUUAUUGAUUCCUACCUUCUGACGAACCAUGAUGCCAUUAAUUUGGUGUCUUGGGGAAUCAGGACUGUUACUUUGAAAAAUUAGAGUGUUUAAAGCAGGCUCACGCUUGAAUACAUUAGCAUGGAAUAACGAAAUAGGACGUUUGAUUCUAUUUUGUUGGUUUCUAGGAUCGACGUAAUGAUUAAUUGGGAUAGUUGGGGGCAUUAGUAUUCAAUUGUCAGAGGUGAAAUUCUUGGAUUUAUUGAAGACUAACUACUGCGAAAGCAUUUGCCAAGGAUGUUUUCAUUAAUCAAGAACGAAAGUUAGGGGAUCGAAGACGAUCAGAUACCGUCGUAGUCUUAACCAUAAACUAUGCCGACUAGGGAUCGGAUGAU